AGUAUAUAAAAAGAUGGAAACAGACAUGCCAUUUUGCGGAACCGAGGCAUUAUAUUUAACUAAAAUUCACAAACAACUCUGAGGUCCGGUUCUGGCGCUGACACACGGCCCCUGAAGGCGAGUCCCUUGCACAAAACACCAAGCGUUACCGUACAUCCUUGUCUAGCCUAGGCUAAGCUCUCUAGCUAAGCUAACCUUCAACGCUAAGUGCUCGCUCUUGGGCUUCCAAAGACUACGGCUUCUCUCUUUUCAAUAAAGCGAAAGAGCCGUUACCCUCCUGCAGUAGCCCAAGGAGAAGAACGUUGCCCGUCGCUUUUAGUGGUGUAUAGAAGAAGAAGAAGAAGAGGAGGAGGAGGAGGAGGAGGAAGGACUAAGGAGGCAUUGCUUGCUUGAAGAGCUAUGGCCAGGGGAUUCAGGCUUAUCUUUGCGUCUUCACUUUUGCUCAUGCUUUUAGGUUUCUGCAGGGGAAGCACAAUUGGAGUUUGCUAUGGAAGAAAUGCGGAUGACCUCCCCACACCUGAUAAAGUGGCCCAGCUGGCUCAACUACAUGAUAUUAAGUAUGUGAGGAUUUAUGACUCCAAUAUCCAGGUUCUCAAGGCAUUUUCAAACACCGGAGUUGAACUUAUGAUUGGAAUUUCAAAUUUCGAUUUAUUGCCAUUCUCCCAGUUCCAAUCCAAUGCAGACACUUGGCUGAAGAACAGCAUCCUUCCAUACUAUCCAGCCACAAAAAUCACAUACAUAACUGUUGGUGCUGAAGUUACAGAAAGCCCCAGUAAUGUCUCUGCCCUAGUAGUACCUGCCAUGAAAAAUGUCCUCGCAGCUCUCAGAAAAGUUGGUUUGCACAAGAGGAUCAAAGUUUCAAGUACCCAUUCCCUUGGGGUUCUGUCCCGAUCAUUUCCACCCUCUGCAGGGGCUUUCAAUAGCAGCCAUGCGUUUUUCCUGAAGCCUAUGCUGGAGUUUUUGGCUGAGAACCAGUCACCUUUCAUGAUAGAUAUUUACCCUUUCUAUGCUUACAGAGACUCCCCCAGCAAUGUGUCUCUAGACUAUGCUCUGUUUGAGUCAUCCUCUGAAGUUAUUGAUCCAAAUACUGGUUUGCUGUACACAAACAUGUUUGAUGCCCAGAUAGAUGCUCUUUAUUUUGCACUGAUGGCUCUGAAUUUCAGAACAAUUAAAAUCAUGGUCACUGAAACCGGUUGGCCUUCCAAAGGUUCUCCCAAGGAGUCAGCUGCUACUCCUGAUAACGCUCAGACUUUUAACACUAAUCUGAUUCGGCAUGUCAUUAACAAUACUGGUACUCCUGCAAAGCCCGGACAGGAGCUCAAUGUUUAUAUCUUCUCUUUGUUCAAUGAAAAUAGGAAGCCUGGGUUGGAAUCUGAGAGAAACUGGGGACUAUUUUAUCCAGACCAGACGAGUGUCUAUAGCCUGGAUUUCACUGGUAAAGGUGCUGCAGUAAUGACUACAGCGGCAAAUGUUACCAGUUCAAAUGUAACAACGUGGUGCAUAGCUUCAAAUAAGGCUUCUGAAAUGGACUUGCAGAAUGCCUUAGACUGGGCAUGUGGUCCUGGGAAUGUGGACUGCACUGCUAUUCAGCCUAGCCAACCUUGUUAUGAACCAGAUAAUCUAGUCUCACAUGCAUCUUUCGCAUUCAAUAAUUAUUUCCAGCAAAAUGGGGCUACUGAUGUUGCUUGCAGUUUUGGAGGGACAGGGGUUAAAGUUGAUAAAAACCCGAGCUAUGAUAAUUGCUUUUAUAUGACCACUGGGAGCAACAAAACAGUAGCAAGUAAUACAACAGCAAUUUCUUCAACCACUUCGUAUUCUACACAGAAGGAAGCUCCCACAUGGGUUUCUAGUUGUCUUCUCGUGACUUUCUUCUCAUUCCUUUUGAACACCGGUCAUGCCUGAUAAGUUUGAUCUUUAAGCAGUGUAAAGAUUUAGCCUCCUCCAAGCGUGGAGCUUCUUGAGAUGCAAGUACAGCUUGAAGUGGGAGGAGACUGGGUUGGGGAUGGGGACCCCCAUAUCCCCCACAAUUCAGCAUCGGCUGCCUUGCUUCAACAAUGGUCCGGAUUUUACCUCAAUACCUGAGAUUAAAUUACAAAAUUCUGGGCAGCAUUUCAGACCCAGUAAAAGGAAUACUCAUUGAUUUGUUCCCUCUUAUGGACCGUUCGGUAACGCCAACAUUGAUAAACUGUAAUCUCAAUGUUUCGUUGUCCACAAGUCACUCUUAUACUUAGCAGUAUCUAAUAUGAGUCUGCUGUAUUUGGAAAUAUAAUUGUUAUCAGCUAAUAUAGACUGUAACUUCACUAUUAUUUACAAACAGUUCACUAUUAUUCAUAAA